rnacentral:tmRNA from 1 species
GGGGACGUAAAGGUUUCGACGGGGAUUCUAAGGUAUGGUAAGCGGGUAAAGCCGGGCAUCUUUUCAAACUGUCCAACUUAAAUUUAAACGCUAACAAUAACGUUGCAAUUGCCGCGUAAGCGGUGACGUUACUUUAAUGUAACCCGUUCCUCCGGAGAGUAUCGCGGCUCCGGACUGAACGUCAUGUAGCGAUGAACGUGCAUCGGUGGUUUGCUUUUGAACCGGUCACGCACAAAAAAGCUACCCAAAGUCGCAGCCUGUUCGUCGGCGGCGACCGAGGGAAAUAAAAAAACGACGAAAUACACUCGUAGAAAGCCAUAUUAAGGGAUUUUCGGACAGGGGUUCGACUCCCCUCGUCUCCAU